rnacentral:lncRNA from 1 species
AGAAACUAAAAUAAUGAAAAUCAAAGAAGUCAAAAAAUAAUUUAUGUAUGAAAAAUAUUGAAAUAUACCUUGAACUUUGCUAGAAGAAUCCUAUAUACCCCUAAAUGAUUUUUAAAAAAAAAUUAUAAGUCAAAAAUAUAAGUUUAAAAUUAAUUUUUUCACUUCCGUUAAAUGAAGGGUAUAUGUGAGCUCAUUUUGUAACGGUAGGGGUAUAUGUGAGCCGUUUGUAUAACGGUAAGGGUAUAUAUGAGCCACUUUCAUAACGAG